AAGAGGAUGCGUCAGUCGCAAGAUGAAGCGUUGAAUUGAAGCCCGAGUAAACGGCGGCCGUAACUAUAACGGUCCUAAGGUAGCGAAAUUCCUUGUCGGUUAAAUACCGACCUGCAUGAAUGGCGUAACGAGAUGGGAGCUGUCUCAACCAGAGAUUCAGUGAAAUUGUAGUGGAGGUGAAAAUUCCUCCUACCCGCGGCAAGACGGAAAGACCCCGUGGACCUUUACUACAACUUAGCACUGCU
rnacentral:rRNA from 1 species